rnacentral:tRNA from 10 species
CCUGGUUUCCUUCUAACUUACCAACAUUCCUUCACAGUCUCUUUUGCUGACUCAUUAUCCUCUAUCUUUAAUAAGAGGUUUUUCAGGGCCCUUUUAUUUUCUCACUAUACUCUUUUCCUUGGCCAUUGCCUCUUCAACCAUGACUUCUAUUACAAUAGGAAUGUCAAUCACUUUCACCUGUCUUCAAUUUAGAUCUUUCCUCUAACACCCGGAUAUGUAAUUCAACUCUUAACUUGAUAUCUCACUUGGAAGAGUUACAAGCCUCUCUGAAAAAAAUCCAUACAGGAUGGAAUGCAUGGCAUUUUCUCUGAAACUUCCUCCCUGUCCAGUGUUAUCUACCUUGGAACGAUUGUCUCAUUUAGAGGGACUCUCUAACCUGAGUACACAUUUGAAACAUCUGAGGGCUUUGAAACAUACCUGCUCCUGGACCACCUGCUGAACCAAUUAAAUCAGAAUUUCUGUUGUGAAGAUCUCCACGUGAGUUUAAGCUUUCCUGCUCAACUGUUAGUUCCAUGAAGGCAACAGCCAUGCCUGCUUCGUUCACUGAAAUAUCUUCGUUUCCUAACACACAGAAAGUCAUCAUUUUUUGACGGAUGAAAGAAUGGAUGAAUGCCUAGUCUUGGAGACAUCUACUUGCAAUAAAGGUUAGAUGAAGGAAAUGGAUGCCAGUGGGAGAUUUGUGGAUCUAUUUCACCAGAUUUCACUCUGCUGACUCAGCAAAAUGGUCCCCGAAGAAAGUGAAGAAACAGAGGCAAAGGGAGCAUAAGCAAUUUUCCAAAGGCCAUACAACAUGUAAGUGGCUGAGCCAAGACUGAAAUCACCAGGUUCUUAACCACUAGGCCAUAUUGCAUUGGAGUGUUGCCUCCUGGAGUAAGACUAGGCUAAAAGCUUCAUAGAAACCUAAAGGAGUUAGAGAAGGAAGAUCUCUCAAUGGAAAUGCUAAGAAGAGACACAAGGAAAGACACAUCACUAAGGAGAGACCCAAGGAAAAUGGCUCUAUGACUACAGUCCAUUUAAAGAAUGAGGGCGUUCCUUCUACCAAGUUACAGGUGGAGAUGUGUUUACCUGCUGGAUACCAAUGCUUCUAGCAUCAGGGAGAAGUUGAGCCCUGGAGGAAACAUUGCCUCUAAGUUUGUGUUCUGGUGCUACAUACUGCAAAGCAAAGUAUCUACAACAACUGCAAUAAGCCACCCUGAUCAUUCUUCAACCUAAAGAUUUGCAACUCAUCCAAGUUCAACUGGUUGAAAGAGCCUGCCUCCUCACAGCAGUGCCUGAUUGACACUAUGAACUGAAAUACUAAAGGCACUUCUUCUUUCAGGAUAACUGAUUAAAUGUUCUGGCUGGUAAAGCAGGUCAUCACUCAACUGUUGUGGCUUUGGCAAGAUGCCACCAAAGCAGCCCAUCAUGGUUGGCAGAGAUGUAAAGGCCCCACAUAUUACAGAACACCCUUUGAUAUGCAGACUAAUUAAUAGAAGACCUAAGCCUUUCAAGGGACUUCUAUACCAUAGGAUGUUAGGAGACAUCAAGAACACAAAUGAAACUAAGAUUUUCAUACAGGGUUCAGGUUUUGUUACUUCAGAUCUAUAAUCUAAAGUUCUGUAAUCAUCACAUCACUCCAAGAACAAAAUUUGAUAGGCAAAAUUCUUCACACUCAUUUCAUGGAGAACCUUGAGGGUCCAGAGUGAGGCUUGAUGGCAAGCAGGAGCUCCCUGUCCCCUGUCUCCACCCAUGCAACCCCUAGCUCCCCCAUUGUUUUCACUCUAGAUUUGUGAAGUAUAACAACCUUAAAAUCUUAAGAUUUAAUCUUUAAAUAUUAAGAGAUUUGGGUUUCUGUAUCAACAAUCUUUAAAUAUUAAGAGAUUUUUCCGAAGAUUAAUGACUUUCCUAGAGUUGGCCUACAAAUUCACCACCUCAACUGGAUGACUUGCUUUGGAAUAAAUUUCUAACACCGCAAGUGAAUUGAAUAUUUUCUUCCUUUUUUAUGUAAUCUAAUAUAGUACAUUUUUAAAAAUUUAUAGGAUGUCCAGACACUUAUAGCUUAUCAUUCUAUGAUUCAAAAGAAUUUGGUAUAAUUGCAUUGAUAAGCUUACUGCCCUGGGCACCAAAGUAACCUAGAAUAUGGAGAAGUAGCUUUUGGUGACAUGCAUCUAUUUAUAUCUCUAGCAUUUACUAAUUAAUUAAUUUGUUUAACAAAUACACAUUCAGUACCAUUAUAUGUUUGGCAUUGUCAUAGAUGUUAGAAAAUCAAAUAUAAAAAAGAGGUAAUUUCUUCACAACACACGGAAAUAAGAGUAUCUCUAGGAAUUGUCUCUAGUUGAAAUUGUUUUCUCCUACCCACCUCUACGAUUCAUCAAUUUAGCUUUCCUUCACUGUAGUGACAGGUGUUUUAAUCUCACCUAACAAUAUGCCUGAUUAAGCUUCAACAUACACAGAGAGAGGCCUGAAAAACAUAACUUGGUCUCUAUGUCUAAGUUUAUGUUGUUAGUAAUAGUUAUAAGAGCCACAGCGAUGGCACCAUGGCGUUACCUUCUCUGAAGGCUUUCCCAGCUUUCCUAGCAAAGCUCUUUUCUCUUCCCUCUGGUUAAAAAAUAAAUAAAAAAAAAAUAAAGGUUUUUCCUUUAUUGUUAUUCUUAUGUGUCUGAUUUUAUCACAUUUAUUGUUUUGUUUUCUGAUUGUAUAAGUCAUACAUGCUCAUUUAGAAAACUUGGAAACUAUGGAAAAAGAGAAAUAAAAAAUAAAAUCCACUCUAAUCUACCUUGUUUCUAUCUCUAAGGUAGCAUUCGUCACUUUGGUAUGAAGUUGAUGUGAGUAGAUCUGUCUAAUCAACUAAAUUUGGAGCUUCUCCUGAGAAGAACGCAUGUAUUCAGCUCUGUAUUCCAGCUGUAGGAAGUGUGUGAUGUAUUGGAAACAUCCCAUAAUUUUGAAUAAUGGACACUGGAGCCAAGAUCCCUGCCACUUGGUGCUGUCAUGAACGGUCCCAGGGUAAUUUCCCUGAUGUGCAGGUGUGCCGCAGUGCAUGGGCCGUCUCUGGAAUCCAGCUCAACAUUUGAACAAAGAGAGAAAUUAGCUCGCCCUUUGCCCUCAGGAGAGGAAACCUGUGUCAGAAAAUAUCAGCCAUGUCUCCAAGCUAAAACUGACCAAACCCCAAGCUUUAAUUGUCGGAUGGGCCCUUACAUUCUGGAAUGUCCUAAACUCCAGAAUCUCACCACCACUGGUGCUGCACAAGGGGAAAUGGGGGAGGCAGGCCUGUCUAAGGGGCCAGUCCAUAGGGAUACAUGGCUAGAAAUAUCAGAAGGACUUCAUUAGGGCAGCAUGUCACCUAUACAGUCACCUAAUACAGUCUUCAUGCCAGGGUCCCCCAAGGAUUAUGUUAUAGAAAUGUUCUAGUGAACUUCAAAAAUUAGAGAAGGAAUGCAGUGAUUUAUCCUAACAAGAGAUAGUUCUAUGUUCAGAUGGAAAAUCUGAGUUAAAUGAACUUUGUGGGGGUUAGAUACCUUCAGAGUAAAAGCUCACUUUGAAUACAACAUUACAGAAAUGAAGGUGUAUUUUAUGUUGUAUCAACCAUCUUUUUGAUGAGGGCAGCACUACCCGGACUAAGCUUCAGGCAAGAUUGCAGGGUCUGGGACUUUAAUUUAGAAUUGAAGUAUGUUAAAGCUGGAAGAAUCCUUAGAAGCCUUCUGAGCCAGUUAUUCCCAAACAGGUGCUUAAAAAUCGUGUAGGGAGGCUACAGUAACCAAAACAGCAUGGUACUGGUACCAAAAAGGAGAUGUAGACCAAUGGAACAGAACAGAGCCCUCAGAAAUAAUACCACACAUCUACAACCAUCUGAUCUUUGACAAAACUGACAAAAACAAGAAAUGGGGAAAUGAUUCCCUAUUUAAUAAAUGGUGCUGGGAAAACUGGCUAGCCACAUGUAGAAAGCUGAA